UACGGAGGGUGCAAGCGUUAAUCGGAAUUACUGGGCGUAAAGCGCACGCAGGUGGCUGAGACAGUCGAUUGUGAAAGCCCUGGGCUUAACCUGGGAAUUGCAGUCGAAACUACUCGGCUAGAGUAUGGGAGAGGGUAGUGGAAUUCCCGGUGUAGCGGUGAAAUGCGUAGAUAUCGGGAGGAACAUCAGUGGCGAAGGCGGCUACCUGGCCCAAUACUGACGCUCAGGUGCGACAGCGUGGGGAGCAAACAGG
rnacentral:rRNA from 1 species